AGUUCCGGGUGGGCGUGGGCUUGGCGGGCCCCGCACUCAGAGCAGCCGGCGGGCACUGCUGCCCCCGGCAAUGAGGGGCUUAGCACCCGGGCCAGCGGCUGCGGAGGGUGUACUGGGUCCCCCAGCAGUGCCAGCCCACCGGCGCUGCGCUCGAUUUCUCACCGGGCCUUAGCUGCCUUCCCGCGGGGCAGGGCUCGGGACCUGCAGCCCGCCAUGCCUGAGCCUCCCACCCCCUCCAUGGGCUCCUGUGCCGCCCGAACCUCCCCAACGAGCGCCACCCCCUGCUCCACUGCGUCCAGUCCCAUCGACCACCCAAGGGCUGAGGAGUGCGGGCGCACGGUGCCGGACUGGCAGGCAGCUCCACCUGCAGCCCUGGUGCAGGAUCCACUAGGUGAAGCCAGCUGGGCUCCUGAGUCUGGUGGGGAGGUGGAGAACCUUUAUGUCUAGCUCAGGGAUUGUAAAUACACCAAUCAGCACCCUGUGUCUAGCUCAGGGUUUGUGAAUGCAGCAAUGGACACUCUGUAUCUAGCUAGUCUGGUGGGGCUUUGGAGAACCUUUGUGUCUAGCUGGGGGAUUGUAAACGCACCAAUCAGCGUCCUGUCAAAACAGACCACUGGGCUCUACCAAUCAGCAGGAUGUGGGUGGGGCCAGAUAAGAGAAUAAAAGCAGGCUGCCGGAGCAAGCAGUGGCAACCUGCUGGGGUCGUCUUCCAUAGUGUGGCAGCUUUGUUCUUUUGCUUUGUGCUGUAACUCUUGCUAGUGCACACUGUUUUGGUCCACACUGCUUUUAUGAGCUGUAACACUCACCGCAAAGGUCUGCAGCUUCACUCCUGAAGCCAGGGAGACCACGAGCUCACCAGGAGGAAUGAACAACUCCAGAUGCGCUGCCUUAAGAGCUGUAACGCCUUAACAGCUGUAACACUCACCGCGAAAGUCUGCAUCUUCACUUGUGAGCCAGCGAGACGCGAACCCACCAGAAGGAAGAAACUCCAAACACAUCCGAACAUCAGAAGGAACAAACUCCAGAUGCGCCACCGUAAGAGCUGUAACACUCACCGAGAGGGCUGGAGUGGAAUGGUGUGAUCUUGGCUCAUGGGAACCUCCAUCUCCUGGGUUCAAACGAUUCUCCUGCCUCAGCCUCCUGAGUAGCUGGGAUUACAGGUACAACAAACAAGAAAAACUUUACCAAAAAGGCCAUUCAAAGAGUAUUACUCAACAUGUCAAAGGCAAGUUUUAUUUGAAUCUUUCAAGAAAGUAUUCUAAUAUUCAUAUUCACACACAUUACAAAACCUAAGCACAUACAGGCAGGUUCCUGAAAAACCCAGGUAUAGGACAAAUUCUCUGUGAAUCUAAAUAUUUCUAUCCAUGUGAGUACAUGUAAGAAUACCUGUGUUUUGGUGUUUCGAUGUAGUAUUAUCUUGUAUGUUUCAGAAUUUUUUUUCCAGCAUUUUCAAGGUUUAAUAUUCACUUGGAAAGGGGGACCCUUGGAAUUCUUUUGAGACAUACCUUAUUCAUCUUGAAGUCAUCCUGAAAAUGUGGCAGGCCAUUAAUACUUUUGUAGAGAAACACAGGCUCCAUUUUCCCAGUGUAAAUAUAUGCUGAGGUCUGUCUUUAAAUGUGUACCUAGGAGUAGGAAAGGUUGAGAAAGGAGAGAAUGAUACUUUUGCCCUGCAUUCAACUUUGAUUGUUAUGAAGGGAAAUAUUUUACAUAAAAUAUUUCUACAAUAAGGAGAUUCAAAGGCUAGAACAGUUUUGUGAUCGCUCCUGUACUUUUUUUCAAGACUACUAUUAUCUCUAAUUCUGAGCCAGGUACACUAUUUACUUAGAAGCCAUUGAUUCAAUAUUUAUUUACAACUAGUAGGCAAGUUAAAGAAUGUAAAAUACAUGAUUCUUCUGAUAAUUGUUUUUUUAAAUCUUAGGUUUAUUUGGGGGAAUUUCUUCCUUUCCUUAUGCCAAGAAUGGCUAAUGCUUGUGAAUGUCAGACAUAAAACCCCAUUACAUGAAUUUCCCAAAGUCAAAGAAUGCUGAAUUAAUGCUGUAAGCAAAGUUGUAACAUCAAAGCAUAGAGUAUUAACGAUUUUAGUUAAACAGUUCCCUACAGAUCAGGCUUUGUUCAUUGUAGGGAAUCUUUUUAAAAGUUACUUAAAAAUUCAAGAGCUGUAUGGUUUAGAAAUUUACGAACUCAAGUGAUUCCAAGGAAGGAAUAUUUGUUUUUCUAAUUGCCAUUGGUGGCUGGAAGUCAUGAAACAGUAACCAGCUUAUUUUUAGCAAUUUUUCUGUUUAAUUCCUUUUAUGUAGAAAACACAAAAACUGCAGGCAUUAUGAGGGAAGUAGGGGAGAUUAAAGAGAAAUCACUGUAGAAACAACUUUUCAGAUAACUGCAUCAUUCUUUGUACUCCCUGGCCCGAAAAUGGUUCAACUUGUCUGAAAAGUGAAGAGGUCAAAUAUGUGCACACAGCCACUUUGCCAAGUGUGGGAAAGAACCAGUGUCUGGACUAGUUCCAAGCCAUCCAGACAGCUAUUUCAACUGGAACAAGUGACCUUUGGAACAGACUAGAACAUAACAGCCUGGCCAGACAGAGGGGAGGGAGUAGGCAGUUGGGAAGGACCCCAACAUGUUCUUCUGAAAGCUCAUUUGAAAUAAGAGGACAAUAAAAAGGACAGAAAUAUGAACUUAAAAAUACAUCAAACCAGUAAAAACUGUGUGACCACAAUAUGGGAUUCAAGAAAAGUUACAGUUUGUGUUUUUAGCUGUCAUUCCUUAAUAUACACGCUUAAAUACUUCUCCAACCCUGUGAGCACAGGCCCUGUCCCUUAAUUACAUAACAUUCAUGUUUGAAUCUUCAUAGCCUCUUUGACACUAAGUAACCAUUAUUUUGUUUUUCCUCUAUCAAUUGGGCCAGACUUCCUUAGUCUAUGAUUCUAUGGUGAUUGUUAGACAAACUUCAAUAAUUACUAAGAGAUUUAUUUAGCAAAUUAUUGCUACAGUAGAAGUUAAAAUAAUAAUAAAUAUUUUAUUGAAAAUGAGAUAGUGGUUAUCUUCUCCCAACAUUUAUUUGAAGGCAUGUUGUUCUUUUCUAAGAGAACAUACAAAAUUUAAGUUCACAUCAUUAGCAAGAAGCAUCUAAAUAAAUAUGCAAUCUUUUAAUGAAUGCUUAUGGACAAAGUGUUGUGCUUGGUAACAAAGAGGAAGGAUGUCAAGGCAAUCCUUCCUUCAAAAUGUUUGAAAAAUGGAGAGCAAAGCUUUUUAAAAAAUGCUUUAUUAAAAAUACAAAAAGCUGUUUCUUAGACAAUGUGUUAUUGAUUUUUACAAAAUAUAUUAACUAUCAUAAGCUGAUUAUGUCCAAGGUACUGAGAAAAUACUAUGAGAUUUCAGAGUGCUCUUUCACAGAGAACUUUGUUAUUCCAGUGGGUACUGGAAAAUACUUUUCAGAAGACAACUUCUAUAGCUUCUAAUCAGGCCUUCUUUAAUGAAAAUACAAACCUUUAAAAGUCUUAAUGAAUAUUCCAAGGUGUCUAUAGAAUUGCUUGGAAACUAGAAGAUUUGGUUCAAUGAAUUUGGCAUGUAGAUCUGAAUGAAUGCCAAAAAUGUAGCUAAGGUAAAGGAAGUAAAUUUUUACAAAAUUUGUGUUACAUAGUCUUCGUGGUACUAUUAACUGACAAAAACCACAGUGUUAAUGAUGAUAUAGAAAUAAGAAAUUUGGUUAUUUCAAUUUAUCAUGUAAUGUCAGAAAAAUGAGAAAUGAGCCUUUCGACUCAACUACUUCUUAAGUAUGCCAUUAGAAUUGGCAUAGUAUUGAUUAGAAGCUAAGAAGUAGAGCAGAAAAAAAUGAAUCCAGAGAAAGACAAUGCUGUCUGCUACUUAUGUAAUGUUCAUAUUUCUUAAACUGUAUUUUGAAAGCAAGAAAAUAGACCAUAAAUGAUUUUAGGAGGUGGCGUUCUUGCUAGAUUAAGAAAAUCCCACUUGGAAUUCUAGAGAAAUUAUGCUUUUAGGGAGGGAGUUUCAUUAGUGGAUUAUCACAGACCUUAACAACAAAAGAUCAAAACAUGAAAUAAACGUACUAGAAUUAAGGUUUGUGUCAAAUUUGUGAGAUGCACUUAGAAGGGCGAGAUUUUAAAUAUUUGUCUGAAGUUAUAUAGGAAGAAGACAUUUUCUGCAUGAGACACAGGGGUCCAAGGGCAAUUCCAACUGUGACCAUCACAUUUGUAAGUUCCCUAUACAGGGUGUAGUUUAGGUGGAGUCUGAAAUUCAGUUGUCAAAACUGACUCCAAGGUUCUUCAAGUAAUUUAACAGAGGAUGAAGCCCAAAAUCAUGAGUAAAUAUUGAAUCUGGAAGUAUAUGUGGAAACACUGGAAUAGAAAAACAUUAACAGCCAGUUUUUUCAGGGUUAUGCUAAGUAACAUAAAAACGAAUAAAAAAAUCAGUAUUUAGAAAUGCAACGUAUUAUCUAUCAGAAAUCCUACUGAAAAUACAUUCCCAUAAUAUUAUUAAAUUUUUUUAGAAAAAUCCAAAUCCAAAAUAAAAGAACAAAAAGAGACGAAGAAAAUUUUUGCCAUUGGCCUGCUCUGAUAAACUUCACACUGGAUGACUGAUACCUGACAUCAGCUAGUACGAGGUACCCAGACUUAAACAUACUUAAAUACAAGUGUUCCUGAGGAAGUUUUUGGUUCACACGGUGUUGUGAUACAUAUUCGCUUUUAUUUAUUCACUUAUAUGCUUCCCAUACUUUUACUUUAUGACAAUAAACUGACUGAAAUCAGAGAUCCUGUCAAUUUAAUGCCACCUGCUAACACAUCUGUUAGCAAACUUGCUAGAUGUUUUCUUACCCC